ACACGCAUGACACACUGCAUAUCAAUAAGCGGAGGAAAAGAAACUAGCAAGGAUUCCCCUAGUAACGGCGAGUGAAGCGGGAAGAGCUCAAAUUUGAAAUCUUCAAGGUUUGACCUUGACGAAUUGUAGUUUAAAGAAGUGUUUUCUGUUAGAGGAGUAGGUAAAAGUUCUUUGGAAUAGGACAUCAUAGAGGGUGAGAAUCCCGUAUUUGACCUAUUCUUUCUAGCUGUGUGAUACACUUUCAAAGAGUCGGAUUGUUUGGGAAUGCAGUCCAAAAUAGGUGGUAAAUUUCAUCUAAAGCUAAAUAUUGGCGAGAGACCGAUAGCGAACAAGUACCGUGAGGGAAAGAUGAAAAGAACUUUGAAAAGAGAGUUAAACAGUACGUGAAAUUGUCAAAAGGGAAGCGUUUGACACCAGUGUUGUUUUCUCGAAAAUCAAUUAAAAAAGGCCGGAUUUUGUGUUGUAUUGACCUUAAAAGCUUUCUUCACUCUUUUCUUGUCUUUUUUAAUGCACUUUUCGUUUAACAAGUCAACAUCAGUUUCUUUUGUUGUAAAAGGGUCAUUGGAAGGUGGCUUUCUUUUCGGAGAAAGUGUUUAUAGCCUUUGAUCUCUGCAACCGGAGGGACUGAGGUCUGCAGCGUAGACUCUUCGGGGUUAGAUACAUUUGUGCUAAGCUAUAGCUUUUUAUAGACAACUUGUUGACUAUAUUUAGUCUUGUGGCUUACUCGCUUAUGCUAUUUUACCUACGCUUAGGAUGUUGAGCGCAUGUCUCUCUCU
rnacentral:rRNA from 1 species